rnacentral:rRNA from 1 species
GACGAACGCUGGCGGCGUGCUUAACACAUGCAAGUCGAACGGAAAGGCCCUGCGUUUGUGGGGUGCUCGAGUGGGGAACGGGUGAGUAACACGUGAGUAACCUGCCCUUGACUUUGGGAUAACUUCAGGGAACUGCGGCGAAUACCGGAUAGGAGCUCCUGCAGCAUGGGGGGGGUUGGAAAGUGUCGGCGGUGGGGGAUGGACUCGCGGCUUAUCAGCUUGUUUGUGGGGUAGUGGCUUACCAAGGCUUUGACGGGUAGCCGGCCUGAGAGGGUGACCGGCCACCUUGCGACUGAGGUACGGCCCAGACUGCUACGGGCGGCAGCAGGCGGAAACCUUGCACAACGGGCGGAAGCCUGAUGCAGCAACGCCGCGUGCGGGAUGCCGGCCUUCGGGUUGUAAACCGCUUUCGACUGUGACGAAGAGUGAGUGACGGUAAUGGGUAAAGAAGCAACGGCUAACUACGUG